AUGGGCGGUUUGGGAUUCAGGGAUGUAGGACUGUUUAAUCUAGCUCUACUCGCACGUCAGGCAUGGAGACUACUACAGGAGCCGGAUUUGCUUAGUGUACGGGUUCUUAAAGCUAGGUACUACCCAUAUUGUCACUUCCUAAAUGUCACCUUGGGCGUGGCUCCGUCUCAGGGACUUAUCAAGCGAAUUGGCUCCGGUUUACAUACUAAUAUCUGGAAUGAGAACUGGCUGUCAAGGUACUACAAAUUUAGACCGAUUUGUGCACGAUCGUCUAACCCCCCAGUUUUGGUCUUGAAUCUCAUUGAUCAUAUCACCAGGGUUUGGAAUAAGCAAGUACUCACGGAGCACUUUAUUGCUCCUGAUGUUGAAGUCAUUCUGAAUAUACCUCUCAGCACCUGCACACAAGAUGAUUUUUGGGCCUGGCACUAUGAUAAGCGGGGAGUCUUUUCUGUACGGUCGUCAUACAUGAUGAUCUCUUCAAUCCAAACUCAGAGGGAGGACUGGCUAGAUCACCGACCAGGGCAUUCCAAUAUUGUAGCAGACAAGAGUUCAUGGUCUCAACUAUGGAAAGUGAGGGUUCCCUCCAAAGUCCGAGUGUUUGUGUGGAGGCUAGCACAUACUUCGAUUCCUACUGGUCUUGUGCGUCAUGAGAGGAAUAUGGCUGAUACCCCAGCAUGUUCUAUUUAAGGUGCAUAGGAGGAUACUUGGCGGCACUCUUUACUUAGGUGCCGCAUGGUCAGAUGUGUUUGGACCUUGGGUGAUGAGGAGUUGCUCGAGCAUGUGAUCUCAAACCGGAAUACUAAUGCAAGACUUUGGUUGUUCUGGCUAUUUGAAUCCACAAAUCAACAAGACUUGACUCAAGUACUAGUAACGAUGUGGGCAAUAUGGUGCGCUUGCCGGAAAGCCAUUCACGAGAACGAGUUCUAG
rnacentral:rRNA from 1 species